rnacentral:rRNA from 1 species
AGAGUUUGAUCCUGGCUCAGAAUGAACGUUGGCGGCGUGGAUUAGGCAUGCAAGUCGAGCGAGAAUUUUUGAAUUGAAACUUCGGUCGAGAUUCGAAAAGGACAGCGGCGAAAGGGAGAGUAACGAGUAGAUUACGUACCCAGGGGUUCGGAAUAGCGGGGGGAAACCGCCGGUAAUGCCGAAUAAUGUCUCCGGACCAAAGAUUUAUUGCCCUUGGAGCGGUCUGCUUACUAUUAGCUUGUUGGUGUGGUAAUGGCGCACCAAGGCGAAGAUGGUUAGCGGGUGUGAGAGCAUGGCCCGUCUCACUGGGACUGAGACACUGCCCAGACACCUACGGGUGGCUGCAGUCGAGAAUCUUCCGCAAUGGACGAAAGUCUGACGGAGCGACGCCGCGUGCGGGAUGAAGGCCUUCGGGUUGUAAACCGCUGUCAGAGGGGAGGAAAUUUGACCGAUCCUCAAAGAGC